GUGAACGACACCCUCACAUCUCUCUCCACCUCACUCUGCAGUUGGUGCAUUCUGGUGUGCAACCCGAGCAGUCGUCUUUUCAUAAUGACAGGCAGUACUCGUGGUGACUGUCACCGUCUUCGUGAUGGGAACAUGAAGAGGAGUUGUUUGUCAGUAAGCGGUUCGGGAGAAGUGACAGUUUUUUCCAGUGAUGUUCAGCCGUCGAGUACGUGAAAAAAAAAAUGAAGGCGUUCGUUCGGUUUUGGUUUCUCUUCCUUUCGAUAUCGUUCUUGAUGACUGUGACUAUGAUAUCCUUGUGUCGCAGUCCUAUAUUUGAUGGUUACGGCCUCUUUAACGAAGGCUUUUGUAUUUUAAAAACAACAAACGUGUCAUGAUACAUGGUCGUCGUGUAUCACAUCGUGAUUGUGUUACGUGUCAGUGGGUAGCCACACGACAAGGACGAACAACAUCGAGUGAGGAGGAUAUUUUGUACUUGUGUAUUUGUCUGUAUUUUGAACUGAAAACUCAAACGCGGGAUAACCGGCAUCCGUCUCUCACACACAUCAGACCUUUAUGCUGAUCGUGGCGGCGUCACGCCCGCGUGAAACGUGCACGGCAGCACAUACAUCCACAGCCUGAAACAAUAAGAGGAACACGUGAAUCUGCAUUGCUAAUCAUCUUUGCCUGCUUCCUGUCAGGCGGCUGACACAUUCCUGAGGCUCGAGCGGCCUUCACGCGUUUAUUUUUACCGACUUCACCUGAAAUCCUACAGCCAGGCUACCUGGAUUUGGUUCAACGGGGUGUCUAAAACACAGCAAACUAAUAAUGUCGUUCUCUCUUAUCUCUGUACCGUCAAUGAGUUUUGUGUAAGUGCAGAAAAAACAACACAAAACCAAAAUACACAAAAAAAUGACAAAAAAAACUCCGAUUCUGCUGACAGGGUGUUUUGUUAGAAGGUUUUCGGUUUCUAUGUUUUCAGUUUUUAUAUUAACUGUACAGUUCAAUCUUGGGUGAAAAGUGAAACAAAAAAAUAAAAAAUAAAGUAUAUUCUUGGGAUAUUUUCUCGUAUAUGUUGUACCUGUUACUGCUGGUACUGUAUCUGGUAUUCUGGCUCUGUCUAAAUCACAGGAACGAUGUAGUUCUUCACACUGUAGUAUGUUAAAGAGGCAUUCACUUGGUUUUCAAUGAUGGCAGCAACGUUUGUCUUAUUUAAAUGGAUUCUACCACUUUUUGUUCUUCUUGAUAUUAUACUAGUGUAAUAGAAAUUACUUGACAAAAAAUGAUCUGAAAAUAUGUUGAUGCAACAGCAAAUUGAAAUAAACAUUGAUUGAUGU
ensembl:lncRNA